rnacentral:piRNA from 1 species
ACCAUAUAAUACUCCUGGAACUGG